rnacentral:rRNA from 1 species
AGGACGAACGCUGGCGGCGUGCUUAACACAUGCAAGUCACGGGGGCCCGCAAGGGUAACCGGCGAACGGGUGCGUAACACGUGAGCAACCUGCCUAGAUGUGGGGGAUAGCCGGCCCAACGGCCGGGUAAUACCGCAUACGGUCACGAGGAGGAGUCUCCUUGUGAAGAAACCUCCGGGGCAUUUAGAGGGGCUCGCGGCCUAUCAGCUAGUUGGCGGGGUAAUGGCCCACCAAGGCUUCGACGGGUAGCUGGUCUGAGAGGAUGGCCAGCCACAUUGGGACUGAGAGACGGCCCAGACUCCUACGGGAGGCAGCAGUGGGAAUCUUGCGCAAUGGCCGAAAAGGCUGACGCAGCGACGCCGCGUGUGGGAGGACGCCCUUCGGGGUGUAAACCGAACUGUUGCCCGGGACGAACAUCCACUUUCGAGUGGACUGACGGGUACCGGUGAGGGAAGCGACCGGCUAACUCCGUGCCAGCAGCCGC